GAAAAUCCCCAGCAGGCUCUGUGCUAUCAGCACAGAGCUGCAUGCGGGGCUCGAACCCACAAACCGUGAGAUCAUGACCUGAGCUGAAAUCAAGAGUCAGGCGCUUAACUGAGCCACCCAGGCGCCCCCGAGGUCACAUAUCUUUUAAUGAGAGAGCUGCUAAUGUGGCAAUGCAGCUGAAAGCACUGAAGGACAGCCCCCUCUCCACCCUGAGCUCAGGCCAACUGCCUGAGGGUCCGGGUCAAAGGGCUCUGGUGAGGGCUGAGCUCUCAAAGCAUGUGUGUACAUAUAUGUACAUACAUAUAUGUAUGUAUGAGAGUGUGUAUGUUGCAUGUGGUACAUGUGUAGGGCGAGUGGGUAUAUAUGUGUGUGUGUGUGUGUGUGUGAGUGGGUGUACCUGUGUAUGGGUGUAUCUGUGCGCAUGUGUGGGAAUGGUGUAUGUUGUAUGUGUAUGUGUGUGUGUAGGUUGUGUGUAUAUGUGGUGUGUGCAUGUGCAUGUCCACGUGUGUGUAUGUGCACACACAGGUAUGCACACAGCCUUCUUGAGGGAUCCCGGAGAGUUGGUGGUUAUGCUCUGGGCCCCAGCUGGUGAACAGGCUUGCCAGCCCCUGGAUGUGGGUGCCGAGACAUCUCCCUGUUCCUCGUUCUGGUGAGAGGGUGAGUGACAGUGCCGGGGACAUGGGAGGGGGAAGUCAACCGAUGCAGAACCCAGGCUGGGCUCUCAUCCUGUCAUCGUCCCUCGCCCAGUCGGAGUUCAUGGCAGAGGGAAUCACAGGAGGGUUUCACCGCAAACCAUAACCAGCCUCAGACACCGGGCCAAUCUGCCCAUCUACUGGGAGCAGUUUGCCAGGCCAUCGUUGCUAAGCAGUAGAUACGAAUCCUUCACGUGAGCCCUCCAGCUUCCAGAUUUAUUUGGAGGAUCCCACCCCUCGGCCAGCCCGCCACACAGGGUGGACGGAGUGAGGAGUCAGCAAAGCUGACUCACUUCAGACGUUUUGUAAAGCCCAGAAGUCGAAGCUAUUCCCGCAGGAUGGCUGUUAAGAGGUCUUGAAAAAUCUACGUGGUAGAUGGAAUACACUGGCCACUUCCUACGUGACCGUGGAGGAAGAGGUGAACUCUUACUAAACAGAUCAACGGUUUAAAAACCCAGAGAGACAGACUGGGAAGCAGAGAAGCCAAGAACAUGAGUGUCCAUUCGCUGUCAUGAGCCCCGAAAUCUGAAUGCCAAGGAUUCCUUGGGAUUAGACUCUUUGGCUUUCUUUCUGACGGGCUUAGGCAAGUGCCGUCAGUUCCCUGGCACAUGAGUGUGUUUUCCCCCCAGCAACGGCACCCACGUAAGUUAUUGCACAACUCAGUCAUCCGACAUGGCCUUAAGAAAAGGGAGUGCUGUGUGAAUAGGGGUUAGGAGCUGUUUAAAGGUGACAGCAUACUCCUCUUUCAUAUUAAGUCUUUUAAAUUGCCACAUCAAAUACCUGAAUGACCCAUGACCCUUGUCUGCAUGAUCACACAGAGACAUUUGCAGCCACUUUUGUUGGAAAGGAAAGUGCAUGCCACCUCCUGACCAGACUUCAGACAAGCUGGCCUCUGGCCACUGGUUUUCUUUUGCUCUAAAAACGAUGGGUUCUCUUGAUCUGCAGUGAGACGCCUUUGUACCGAUAACCAUCUGACUGCUCUUCCUUUCUUCUCUCUGCCUUUCAUUCUUUUCUUUCACUUGUGUUGACAGAGAACCUAUGAGUGAUGAAAAAGAAAUCAUGUUUCUGGCAGUCACUGAAGUUCACUCCAUAUUUUCCCCACACUCAUUUCAGCUGUAGGAACUUCACAUUUUGGGAUUCCAUGUAAACGUUACUUACAGGGACGCCUGGGUGGCUCAGUCGGUUAAGCGUCCAACUCUUGAUUUCAGCUCAGGUCGAGAUCUCACGGUUCACAAGAUCGAGCCCUGCAUGGGGCUCUGCGCUGACAGCGAGGAGCCUGCUUAGGAUUCUCUCUCUCUCCUGUCUCUCUGCUCUUUCCCCGUGCUUGUGUGCUCUCUCUCUCUCUCUCCCUUUCAAAAUAAGUGAAUAGACUUAAUAAAAAACCCUUUACUUACAAUAUACAUCAGAGCUACCCAAAAGAACUUUCUGCAAUGAUGGAAAUCAUCUAUAUCCACGCUGUCCAGUACAGUAGCCACUACAGGUGGCCCUUGAGCACCUCAAAUGUGAUUCAUGUGAUAAAGGAACCACAUUUAAAACUUUACUUAAUUUUAAUUGAUUUAAAUUUAAAUAGCUGCAUGUGGCUGCAGGCUAUCCUAGGGAACAGUGCUAUUACAGAGCAUAUAUGUGUCUCCAAGGCUUUCCUCCUCCCCUGCUCCCUCCAAACCCAAGUUUGCUUUUUUUUUUUUUUUUAACUAUAAGUGACCCUGGCAUGCUUCAGCAUCCCUCUCUAGGCUCCUUAACAUGAGAGGAAGUAAGCAAACACUCAGCUUGUUGCCCUACAAUUUCUGCAGCUCUCAGACUCCUUCAUGUGGAGGCUGGGAGGGGGGUUGGGAGAGGCUUACUGAAAUGUCAGUAACAUGGUGAGAAAACGUCCGUUCUCCACCAGACAUUUCCUUUGUUGACACGACAGGUUUUCUCUGUGUCCAUGUGAGGAGAGCAACGGCUCACCCCGAAAUGGAAUGCCCGACGUCUCAGAACUCCUUCAUGCUACUGGGUCACUGCCACUUCUGUCUUCCUCCAAAAUACCACGUACCUAGAGCACGGCACCACUAAGCACGGAUUCUGGUGUGGAUGUGUAAAGAGGUUAUGCCUGGAACGAUGACAGCCUUUUGCGGACCAUUAGAGGAGCUCUCCAAAGGAUAAGCCAGCAUACUAAGGAUGGUAAAAAGAAAAAGAGUCUGUGUUUUUGGUUUUGUUUCACCUUCAUAUUAACCAACUCUGGAAAUAUUCCCCUUUCGAACUUAAUGUUUUAUUAUUAGACUGACUGAUCAGAAAGAAGACUGGGUAAAGGUGAAUCUUCAGAUUCUUGCAGUGCCAGAGAAUAAGGAAGUGCUAAACUGCCACCCCCAAGGGGCUAUGUCAAAGGGACACAGCUGAAAGACCUUCCAAUGGCCCAAACUGGGACCAUUUGAGCAAUAAAAUAAUUGAAAGGUGCUGGAUUAUAACCUGAAGUAUAAAAUAAAUAUCCACAAGUCCAUACUAAUAUAAAAAAGUGAAUAAAUACAUGAAGAAGAAUGGAGGAAUCUCCUGGGCAGAAAAAUUCCAAAUAAUUCAUGUAGAUAUUAUGUCCUCAAAGAAGUGAAGCCUAACUGCCCACUCCCUAAGUGUGGAAUUCCUUUAGGAGGAACCACUUCCUUCUAAAGAGUAAACUAUGGAAACUGGGGAGAAAAGGGUUACUCCACAGCGGAGAAUCUUGACACAUGUGACCUCAGCUGGUGAUCAAGGUCAACAUCAACAGGGGUUAAGUCAUAUUGAUAGAAUGUACCUCUGAUAUCAUGUGGUAAGAAUGGCACUUUAUCUCUCUGGUUUCCCUUCCCCAGACCCAUAAUCCCUUUCUAAUCAUGAGACUAACAUCAGACAAACCCAAAUUUAGGUAUGAUCUAAAAAAUUCUUACUUGGUACUCCGCAAAGCUAUCGAAAUCAUCAAAAACAAAGACAAUCUGAGGAACUGUCAUAGCAAGAGAAGCUCAAGGAGACUUGGUGAUUAACCAGAAUGUGAGAUCCUGAAAGGGAUCCUGGAUAUGAGGUAAAAACAAAGGAAAUUUGAGUAAAGUAUGGAGUUUAGUUAAUAAUAAUGUAUCAAUGUUGGUUUAUAAAUUUUUUUAAGUUUAUUUAUUUUGAGAGAGAGAGAGAGAGAGAGCACAUGUGUGUGUGAGUGGGGGGAGGGGGAGAGAGAGGGAGACGGAAUGAAUCUCAGGCAGGCUCUGCACUGUCCAGUACAGAUCCCGAUGUGGGGCUCAAACUCGCGAACCGUGAGAUCAUGGCCUGAGCCGAAAUCAGAUGCUUAACCCACUGAGCCACCCAGGUGCCCUGAUUCACAAAUUGUGACAAAUUUACCAUACUAAUAUGAGAUGUUAAUAAUAGGGAAAAGCAGGGGAGGUAGAUAGGGAUUCUCAGCGUUAUCUUCACAAAGUUUCUAUAAACCCAAAACUAUUUUAAAAUUCAAAGUUGAUUUUAAAAAAGAGAGCUACCAAUAUUAAGAAUGAGAAAGAUUCUAGUCACUACAGGAUAUUAAAAGGAUAAUAUUAUGAACAACUUUAUGCCAAUUUAUUUGGUAAGUUAGACGAAAAGAACACAAUUGUUAAAGACCCAAGCUACUAAAGUCACCCAGGAAGAAACUUAAUAUAGUGUAGAUAACUUAAGUAGCCCAUGGCUAUUAAGGAAAUUUCAUAUCUAGUUUAAAACUUUUCCACAGAGAAAGCUUCCAGCUCCGUUAGUUUCACUGAGAAAUUCUAUCAAACAUUUAAGGUAAAACUAUGGCCAGUCUCACACUUCUAGCCUUCAUUCCAGAAGGCUAGCAUUACCCUGAUAUCAAAACCAGCAUAAGACAUCAUGUGAAAACUAUACCCCACUAUACUUCAUGCAAAAAUGCUGAGCAAAAUUUUAGCAAACUGAAUUCAACAAUAUGUAAAAGGGAUAAUACAUCAUGAGUAAAUGAGGUUUAUCCCAGGAAGGAAAGCUUGAUUUAACAUUUGAAUGUCAAUCAGUGUAAUCUGUAUUAACAAAAUAACAAUAAACAGAAGAAACUGAGCACUAAUACACAUUAACAGAACAAAAAAGGAAAAACCAUAUGAUCAUCUCAAUGCAGAAAAAGCUUUUGACAAAAUUCAACAUCUAUUCCUGAUAAAACUCCAGCAACUAGAAACAAAAGGGAAUUUUCUUCAACCUGAUAAAGACAUCUAUGAAAACCCACAGCUAGUAUAAUAUUUGCUGGGAAAGAGAAUGCUUCACUCCUAAGAUCAGGAGUGAGACAAAGGUGCUUACCAUGGUAAGCAAGGUUGU